AAAUUCUAUUUCUGUAUAUAUGAAUUACAAAUCAGCCUUUAACUAGUUAAAUCCUGUUUCUAGUCUAUUAGUUAAAUUGUGUAACCAUUGAUGUACCAGGACCAAGAUUGGUAAACACUGUUGGAAGUGUAUAAUUGUAAUACAUACAUGCAGACACAGCAUCAUUCAAAGACUGGAAUUUGAUACUUUUAGUAAUGGAUAUGACUGAAAAAUUAUCUCAGACAUUCAUACCUGAACUGCACCUUUAUUUACCAAGGUAGAGUACAUGAUCAAUGAAUAUAUUAAAUGUACAGGCCACAAUGUGGGGAUCUCAUGCAUGGUAAUAACUACAUGUAUAUCAUCUAGGAUGUGACGAUGGUUAAAAUCUCUCAAUUUCUGCCCAUUUAAGUGCAUUUGUAAAUCAGGACCUAUCUUGAGUUGGGCUUUGGGAUGGCGUCACGGCUUUCGUCGGAAGAAGAAGAGGAGUCAUUGGACCAAAAUGCAGUGGGGCUAUCAACCUCAAGAGGCAUCAUGGGGAGCAGCUAGGAGCAGUUCUCAUCUAUAACGAAGCCAGGGAGCUUGUUGAAGAGGCAGCCAUGCUUUUAGGAGAAUAAUUUCUAAGUCCACAAAAGAAACGCUUCAAGGGACAAGGACACCAAGGAGCACAGCUAUCAACAGAAAGCCUACACAAAGAGAAAGAUAUUUAGGCUCGUUUUAAAGGAGCCCAGAGUCCGUGGUGACUUCAGGUUGUCCGGGAGGGCAUUCCAGAGGCAUCUUCCUACGCUCUUAAAAAGAGGUGCUGUCUAGAACAGGAAAGUGUUAUUCGGCUGUCCUCAUAGGAGAGCCCUGUGAACAACUAGUUUUGGUUCCGGGUGAAAUCCUUUCCACAAAGGGUUCUACGUGGAACCCAAAGGGUUAUAUCUGAAACCAAUGGGUUCUAUCAUUCUACUACCUUUUUUCCCCCAAGAGUGUAAAGUACUCCUAACUAACAGUACCUUUUUUUCUUGGAUGAUUGAUAUAUUGCAAGAAUAUUUUGGCAUGUUGCGCAAGCCAGAGUCCAUAGUCUCACAUUGUCUGCCUUCUACUACUUACAGUGCUGUAAAUCUGUCCAAGUGAGACUAUAGUCAAUGUGACACACUCUCAGGCAUACACAGUUUCAGAGCAAAUUUCACCCCUUGCCAGGGUUAAGACAGUUGAUACCCACAUAUUAACACCAGAGCUCAUUUGGCUUCCUGCCCCCUUCAACACCAAUUUGCAUAACCAGAAGCUGUCUGUGUUAAAAGGAAAUGAACAACGCUUUGGUGAAAUUGGAUUAAUAUUAUGUUGCCAUAGAAACAUGUUUUAAUUUGGGCAGGUUUAAUAGAGCAAUUAUGCAGGUGCCUUUAAUAACCCUUGUAUUUAUUUGUAACUUAUUGCUACCUUUGUAAUACAGGAUUACAACCCAGCUGUAGGUUGACUAUGUGAACAUGUUGAAAAGGGCACAUCAAAGCCUCUAUAUUAAGGAUUUUUAACUUGUAGAGUACUAUAGGCUUUCAGGUCUUAUUUUGUUUGCUUGACAAAAUAUGGUGUCCUUGGUCAGAGUACAUAGAUAUAGAUAGAAUACAUACAUGCAGAAUAAAUAGAUAUCCACUUGUGAUUGUGAUGCACAGCUGCAUAUGCUGUGCUGUUUGAGGUUGUAGCACUGUUAGAAUAGGUAGAGCUCAGAGUCAAUGCAUGCAUGUUCCUGAGUACCGCAUGCUGUUUAGCCCGUUAAGUCCCUGCUUUCACACAAAAAAACAUUUAAAUGAUUUCUAACUCUGUUUGCAACAUUGUAGUGCUUGAAAAAUAACCUGUUAAUUAAAAAGACUCAAAGUAAUAAACAAGAUGACCAGCUCUCUU